UUUUGUAGUUGAAUUUACAACGGUGGUUUUUCGGGCCGCAGGUCUCAGUAGAGCAAGAAUUAUGGUUAUA
rnacentral:tRNA from 1 species